rnacentral:rRNA from 1 species
AAAUGAAUAGACGGGGGCCCGCACAAGCAGUGGAGCAUGUGGUUUAAUUCGAAGCAACGCGAAGAACCUUACCAGCCCUUGACAUCCCGGUCGCGACUUUCAGAGAUGAUCGUCUUCAGUUCGGCUGGACCGGUGACAGGUGCUGCAUGGCUGUCGUCAGCUCGUGUCGUGAGAUGUUGGGUUAAGUCCCGCAACGAGCGCAACCCUCGCCCCUAGUUGCCAUCAUUCAGUUGGGCACUCUAUGGGGACUGCCGGUGAUAAGCCGGAGGAAGGUGGGGAUGACGUCAAGUCUUCAUGGCCCUUACGGGCUGGGCUACACACGUGCUACAAUGGCGGUGACAGAGGGCAGCUACACAGCGAUGUGAUGCUAAUCCCUAAAAGCCGUCUCAGUUCGGAUUGCACUCUGCAACUCGAGUGCAUGAAGUCGGAAUUGCUAGUAAUCGUAGAUCAGCACGCUACGGUGAAUACGUUCCCGGGCCUUGUACACACCGCCCGU